UCAGUAAACUCAUUUUUUUAUUUGGUCUGCUUUAACUUGUGCACUGUGAACCGAACCAGACUAAAUAGGAAAUGAACCAAAAGUAUAAAUUUCACUCUGAUUCGGACUAGCCAAACGGACUAUGGCUUGUGAAAGCGCCCUUAAACUGUUAAAUAGGCCCCAUCCACAG